AAUCAACGCUGGCGGCGUGCCUAACACAUGCAAGUCGAACGCGAAAGCCCCUUCGGGGGGUAAGUAGAGUGACGUCCGGGUGAGUAACACGUAGGUAAUCUACCUUCGGGUGGGGAAUAACCAGUCGAAAGAUUGGCUAAUACCGCAUAAUGCAGCGGCACCUAAUGGUGAUUAGUUGUUAAAGGCGGGGGGAUCGUAAGACCUCGCGCCUGAAGAGGAGCCUGCGGCAGAUUAGCUAGGUUGGGAGGUAAUGGCUCACCAAGGCUUCGAUCUGUAGCUGGUCUGAGA
rnacentral:rRNA from 1 species